CCUACGGGGGGCAGCAGUGGGGGAUAUUGCACAAUGGGGGAAACCCUGAUGCAGCGACGCCGCGUGGGUGAAGAAGUAUUUCGGUAUGUAAAGCCCUAUCAGCAGGGAAGAAAGAAGACGGUACCUGACUAAGAAGCCCCGGCUAACUACGUGCCAGCAGCCGCGGUAAUACGUAGGUGGCGAGCGUUAUCCGGAUUCACUGGGUGUAAAGGGAGCGUAGGCGGCCGUGCAAGCCAGGAGUGAAAGCCCGGGGCCCAACCCCGGGACUGCUCUUGGAACUGUGCGGCUGGAGUGCGGGAGGGGCAGGCGGAAUUCCUGGUGUAGCGGUGAAAUGCGUAGAUAUCAGGAGGAACACCGGCGGCGAAGGCGGCCUGCUGGACCGUGACUGACGUUGAGGCUCGAAAGCGUGGGGAGCGAACAGGAUUAGAUACCCGGGUAGUC
rnacentral:rRNA from 1 species